AGGUUCCGUCGGACGAUCGCGUCGUGGCUUCGGCUGCGCCGAGGAAAGUCCGGGCUCCUUGGACACGCUGCCAGGUAACGCCUGGGCACGCACGCGCGCGAGCGCACUGCGUGACGGACAGUGCAACAGAAAGCAAACCGCCUUCGGGAAACCGGAGGUAAGGGUGAAAGGGUGGGGUAAGAGCCCACCGCGUCGGCGGUAACGUCGGCGGCACGGCAAACCCCAGCGGGAGCAAGGUCAAAUAGGCGGCGAGCAGCAGUCCUCUGCGAACAAGACGCCGCGGGUUGGCCGCUAGAGCGCACGCGCGAGCGGGCGCCGAGAGGAAUGAUCGUCCGGUGCGGCAACGCAUCGACAGAACCCGGCUUACAGACGGAACCUUCGA
rnacentral:RNase_P_RNA from 2 species